UGUGCCUGUGAUAAGUUGUUCCUUUGAGUUCGUAUUUGUAAAAUUUUUAAUAGGAUGCUUUUAAUUCCCAUACACAGAGAUAUGAAAGAGUAUUCAUAAAUAAUGAAAAGAUUCUUCGUCUGUUGUAACAAGUAUGACGACUUCCAGUGAAAGGAUGAAAAUCUGGCCCAAGCUGAGUCCAUUGCAAAAUUCCCAUUGGCCUCAAACGGGCUGGAGUUUCACCUGAGUAACAAAAGUGAUGAGAAGAUGAGGAUUGACAUACUGUUUUGGAAAGAUUGCAAGCUUUUUGGAGCAAAAAGAAAACACAGGAAUAAAAUUCUCUUCUUUGCCCUGCUUUUGGCUGAGGCCUCAAGAUACCACUGUAAUAAAAUCCAGUGGUUUGAUGCAAAGUGCCACUGAAGAAGAGCAGUUUCCGCUGGAUCUGCGACGGCGGCUCCCUCCCGGUCUUACUCUGCAGCGGCAGCUCUACAAAACGCUCCGUUUGCGUGGUGCUAUUUCUGGACGCUGCCAUCUGCCAGGCUUUACUUCCAUUUCAAACAAAGUUUCAGUUCAGUUCCAUCUUGCAUUUGGAGGCACAUCUGCUCAUGAAUGUCUGGUAAUCACUGGUGUGCAGCACACACCUGUACCCAAAUAUAUAAAGGAAAUAGGAAGGAAGAGCUAUAUAUUCUCAGCUUGUUAGCUAUUAAACAGGUUAGGCAGGAAAUGGGGACUCUGUUAUCUUUGCUUGUGCAGAUCUUUAUUUUAUAAACAGCAUUUUCUCAAAGGGGUAAUAAAGAAGAGCAAACACAGAAGAAGGAUUACCA
rnacentral:lncRNA from 1 species